CUUAAAUUAGUUUUUUUAAGAAUAAAUAGAGAAUAUAUUUAAUCAAAUAAAGAACAGCCACGUUGAAAUUCUGCUGUUCCUGCCAGUCAUUUGGUACCACAAAACACAAACAAUUUCUGCGUGUUGUGAAGAAGCGCAGGCUGAGGAGGGGCCUGUGACUGGGGAGGCUCUGCGUGCACCCAUGUUCCCGCAACAAAACAUAAAUUAUUGUAGUAAUCUGACAUCAAGAGCUGUGACAGUGAAAACCACUUCUUACACAUGUUCUAACAAGAAUCUGAUUAACGUUUUUGUGGAUGUGGAAAAUAGCUUUUUUUAGUCAAACUGGCACUAUUGCUGAAUUUAGAAUGAUUUCCUUAUGCACUAGAUAGCAAAAUGUGAAUCAUGUCUGUGAAAACACAUGAGAAUAAAAUGUCAUCUUUGUGUAGCAGAAAACAACCAGGAGAGAGCUUUUGGGACAUAAAAUUAUCAAGUGAUUGACAAUAUCAAGAUGAUAAUUCACCCCAGCUACGAGAGCACAUUUCGAAGAAAAAUCCAGUUCUCUCAGAACGUGGCCUCUUUCCUGAGGUGGACACCUUUGGGCCUUUCUCCUGCCUUUGUCGCUUCUCACUCUUUAUUGAGAGUCGCCGUUCUCAUCUCUGUAACAGCACCGCCUCUCUCUUCACUGAAUGCCAGUAGUUUCCAAAUUUGUCAUCUUGACAUUUCUGUCAUCUGUUCUCUUCACAGCUAUUUUCAACGGACCAUCCCCUCCUGCCGGUCUGUCCCCCUACUCAAUUUUAAUGAAAGCACAUUUUUUUCCUUCCUC
rnacentral:lncRNA from 1 species